UUGAAACACUGGUUCUUGUAUGAUCACCAAAGUUAAGCAACAUGGAACCUGGUCAGUACCUAGAUGGGUGACCAUUUGGGAAUACUAGGUGCUGUAA